rnacentral:rRNA from 1 species
UCCUACGGGAGGCAGCAGUGGGGAAUAUUGGACAAUGGGGGCAACCCUGAUCCAGCCAUGCCGCGUGUGUGAAGAAGGCCCUCGGGUUGUAAAGCACUUUCAGCGAGGAAGAACGCCUAGCGGUUAAUACCCGCUAGGAAAGACAUCACUCGCAGAAGAAGCACCGGCUAACUCCGUGCCAGCAGCCGCGGUAAUACGGAGGGUGCAAGCGUUAAUCGGAAUUACUGGGCGUAAAGCGCGCGUAGGUGGCUUGAUAAGCCGGUUGUGAAAGCCCCGGGCUCAACCUGGGAACGGCAUCCGGAACUGUCAAGCUAGAGUGCAGGAGAGGAAGGUAGAAUUCCCGGUGUAGCGGUGAAAUGCGUAGAGAUCGGGAGGAAUACCAGUGGCGAAGGCGGCCUUCUGGACUGACACUGACACUGAGGUGCGAAAGCGGGGGUAGCAAACAGGAUUAGAUACCCUGGUAGUCCACGCCGUAAACGAUGUCGACCAGCCGUUGGGUGCCUAGCGCACUUUGUGGCGAAGUUAACGCGAUAAGUCGACCGCCUGGGGAGUACGGCCGCAAGGUUAAAACUCAAAUGAAUUGACGG